GGGGGGCUAGGAUGAAAAAUUUUGUCCUGUAUUUUUUUUUAGUUGUAAUCUCUGUCCUGUCUUUUUAUUUUUCACUCUAUUCGGUCCUGCCUUUUUUUUAUAAGUUUAUCCUGACUUUUUUUACCUAAAUUGUCAUCCUGCAUUUUUUUUUUGCAAAGUGUAUCAUCCUGCCUUUUUUUUUUACUCAAAACUCCUGUCCUGCCUAUUUUUUUCAAAUUUCAUCCUAGCCCCCCC
rnacentral:lncRNA from 1 species